CAGAUGAUCUUUAGGGUCCUUUCCAAGCCAAACCAUUCAAGGAUUUCAUCAUUCUACCAUGCCCACCUCCCAGUGUGGAGCGGCCCUGAAACUUCUGUGACAUCACAGCUCCCACAGUGUUCCAGGUGGAACGUCCAGCACCUGGAAACCACCACAGCAGACACUCUGCCUGCUGCCAGCGCUCAGUUGGCGCUCGCUCUGCGCUCUGCCCGUCAGCACUCAGCUGUUGCUGCUGCUGCCUGGCCUUUUCCUGCUGCCUGCUCUGGAGCACCAAUCCCAGCAGGAUGAGCACUGCUGCUCCAGUGGAGACUGCCAGAGACAUUGUGGAGGAAAUGGAAGUGGACAUGGUGCAGGCUGAGGAAGAGAUGAUGGAGGUGGACGUGGAAGAGCAGGUUGAGGAGAUGGAAGUAGAUGUGGAGGAUGACAUCGAGGAGAUGGAAGUGGAUGAGGAAGAUGAGGAGGAGCCCAUGGUCCUUGGAUGAAGUUGGAGCCCCACAAGACUGAUGCCGAUGAGGGUCACCGAUGUGACACCUCUGUAAAUAUGUUUGAAACAGUAGAAGAAUUCUGUAAAUAUGUUUGAAACCGUAGAAGAAUUCUGUAAAUAUGUUCUGCGGUUAGAAGUUCUCUGUAAUUAUGUUUCAAAGAUUGUUAGUCCAUAGGAUCCCAUGUAAAUAUGUUCUGUAGAUUGUUAUUGUUGUUGUUAUAAGGAUUGUUGUAAUGAAAGAUGUUCUGUAAAUACUCGUGUUUGCUGAUCUUUGGCAAAUAAAUACUGCUUCUUUUUAAAA